rnacentral:rRNA from 1 species
GAUGAACGCUGGCGGCGUGCCUAAUACAUGCAAGUCGAGCGAACAGACGAGGAGCUUGCUCCUCUGACGUUAGCGGCGGACGGGUGAGUAACACGUGGAUAACCUACCUAUAAGACUGGGGUAACUUCGGGAAACCGGAGCUAAUACCGGAUAAUAUAUUGAACCGCAUGGUUCAAUAGUGAAAGACGCUUUUGCUGUCACUAAUAGAUGUUUCCGCGCCGCAUUAGCUAGUUGGUAAGGUAACGGCUUACCAAGGCAACGAUGCGUAGCCGACCUGAGAGGGUGAUCAGCCACACUGGAACUGAGACACGGUCCAGACUCCUACGGGAGGCAGCAGUAGGGAAUCUUCCGCAAUGGGCGAAAGCCUGACGGAGCCACGCCGCGUGAGUGAUGAAGGUCUUCGGAUCGUAAAACUCUGUUAGUAGGGAAGAACAACUGUGUAAGUAACUCUGCCCGUCUUGACGGUACCUAAUGAGAAAGCCACGGCUAACUACGUG